rnacentral:rRNA from 1 species
UACGUAGGCAGCAAGCGUUGUUCGGAAUUACUGGGCGUAAAGAGUGUGUAGGCGGUGUUCUAAGUUUGUCGUGAAAUCUCCCGGCUUAACUGGGAGGGUGCGGCGAAAACUGGAAUGCUAGAGGAUGGGAGAGGUAAGCGGAAUUCCUGGUGUAGCGGUGAAAUGCGUAGAUAUCGGGAGGAACACCUGUGGCGAAAGCGGCGCACUGGACCAUAACUGACGCUGAGGCGCGAAAGCUAGGGGAGCAAACAGG